UGUGGGUUCAGAAUGUGUCCGCAGGAGAAGGGCAUCUGAGCAGAUCAUCAUGAACUUCAUCCAGUUACUUCAGCCAUUACAGACCAUUCACGAAGUCCAGUCACUCAGCCCUAUCCAGAAGCUCUCAUGGUCCUACACUACUUCCUCCUACAACACCCAGAUGAGAAGCAAAAAGCCUGGCCCCAUGAUGCUGGUUGAUGGCACCUACAUGCCUGUUUGAGGGACAACUGGACAAAAUAUAUCAGAAUGCUUGGACCUCAGCUGAGACCCUCCUCUCCCACCCUGUCUUUCAAGGA